rnacentral:rRNA from 1 species
CACUCCUACGGGAGGCAGCAGUGGGGAAUAUUGCACAAUGGGCGCAAGCCUGAUGCAGCCAUGCCGCGUGUAUGAAGAAGGCCUUCGGGUUGUAAAGUACUUUCAGCGGGGAGGAAGGCAAUACGGUUAAUAACCGUGUUGAUUGACGUUACCCGCAGAAGAAGCACCGGCUAACUCCGUGCCAGCAGCCGCGGUAAUACGGAGGGUGCAAGCGUUAAUCGGAAUUACUGGGCGUAAAGCGCACGCAGGCGGUCUGUCAAGUCGGAUGUGAAAUCCCCGGGCUCAACCUGGGAACUGCAUUCGAAACUGGCAGGCUUGAGUCUUGUAGAGGGGGGUAGAAUUCCAGGUGUAGCGGUGAAAUGCGUAGAGAUCUGGAGGAAUACCGGUGGCGAAGGCGGCCCCCUGGACAAAGACUGACGCUCAGGUGCGAAAGCGUGGGGAGCAAACAGGAUUAGAAACCCCAGUAGUCCCAU